UAGGGAAUAUUAGAAAUGGACGAAAGUCUGAUCUAGCAACACCGCGUGUGCGAAGAAGGCCUUCGGGUCGUAAAGCACUUUUUGGAAGGAAUAGGAAGGAAUGUACUUCCAGAAUAAGUCUCGGCUAACUACGUGCCAGCAGCCGCGGUAACACGUAGGAGGCAAACGUUAUCCGGAUUUACUGGGCGUAAAGCGCGUGUAGGUGGUUCUGUAAGUAGGGCGUGAAAGCUCCCGGCUCAACUGGGAGAUGCCGUUCUAAACUGCAGAGCUAGAGGAUGGUAGAGGGAGGUGGAAUUCCAGGUGUAGCGGUGGAAUGCGCAGAUAUCUGGAGGAACACCAGUGGCGAAGGCGGCCUCCUGGACCAUUCCUGACACUCAGACGCGAAAGCUAGGGUAGCAAACGG
rnacentral:rRNA from 1 species